rnacentral:rRNA from 1 species
UACGGAGGGUGCAAGCGUUGUUCGGAUUUACUGGGCGUAAAGCGCGCGCAGGUGGGGUGACCAAGUCGGAAGUGAAAUCUCGAGGCUCAACCUCGAGGCUGCUCCCGAAACUGGUCGCCUAGGGACUGGUAGAGGCUGGUAGAAUUCCCGGUGUAGCGGUGGAAUGCGUAGAUAUCGGAAGGAACACCUGUGGCGAAAGCGGCUCA